rnacentral:lncRNA from 1 species
AUAUGCUGCAAUAGAAUCAAAGCUGGCUCCCUGGUUAAAAGAGGUGAGCUGACCUGGAUCCAGGCUGGCUUCACGACUGCACGAAGCACAGCAGAAUCAGUGCUGUGUCGAUUUUGGAGUAGGAUGCUGACCUAUGAAGUCCUAAAGACAGUACCGCUUGGCAAAGGCGAAUGUUCAUUAUCAGAAUGAGACACUCACGGCCCUUCUCAUUAAGCUGAAUUAUGUGUUGUACACCUACACACUCCAAAUAGAUUUGGACUAUUGACAUCAUCAAGGGAUGUGUGUCUUUCCUCUCAAUGGGUAUUGAAUUAAGCGCACAGGAGACAGCAGG